rnacentral:rRNA from 1 species
AGUGAACGCUGGCGGCAGGCCUAACACAUGCAAGUCGAACGGCAGCACAGUAAGAGUUUGCUCUUACGGGUGGCGAGUGGCGGACGGGUGAGGAAUACAUAGGAAUCUACUUUUUCGUGGGGGAUAACGUGGGAAAGUUACGAUUACCCCGUAAUAGAUCUAACGGCGAAAGGCAGGGGUUUUAGGCGCUUUUGCGGUUGCAUGUAGCGGUGUCGGAUUCGCUUGUUGGAGGGGGAAAGGUCCCGCAAGGCGACGAUCCGUAGCCGGUCCGAGAGGAUGAUCAGCCACACUGGAACUGAGACACGGUCCAGACUCCUACGGGAGGCACCAGUGGGGAAUAUUGGACAAUGGGCGCAAGCCUGAUCCAGCCAUACCGCGUGGGUGAAGAAGGCCUUCGGGUUGUAAAACCCUUUUGUUGGGAAAGAAAAGCAGCAGGUUAAUACCCCGCUGUUCUGACGGUACCCAAAGAAUAAGCACCGGCUAACUUCGUG